rnacentral:rRNA from 1 species
GACGAACGCUGGCGGCGUGCUUAAUACAUGCAAGUCAACUGAACUCAAGGUAGUAAUACUUUGAGGGAGGUGGCGCACGGGUGAGUAACACGUAGGUAAUCUGCCUUUAGGUCUGACAUAACCACGAGAAAUCGUGGCUAACUUCAGAUGAUGCAGCGGCUCGACAUCGAGACAGUUGUUAAAUCUUCGGAGCCUAAAGAUGAGCCUGCGUCUGAUUAGGUAGUUGGCGGAGUAAAAGCCCACCAAGCCUGCGAUCAGUAGCUGGUCUGAGAGGAUGAUCAGCCACACUGGAACUGAGACACGGGUACCNGACUCCUACGGGAGCAGCAGUAAGGAAUAUUGCUCAAUGGCCGAAAGGCUGAAGCAGCAACGCCGCGUGGAGGAUGAAAUACUUUUGUAUGUAAACUCCUGUAAGAGGGGAAAAAUAUGCAGUUAUUCUGCGUUGAUUGUACCCUCAGAGUAAGCCCCGG